rnacentral:rRNA from 1 species
UACGUAGGGUGCAAGCGUUGUCCGGAAUCAUUGGGCGUAAAGCGCGCGUAGGUGGCUUCGUAAGUCCGUUGUGAAAGUCAAAGGCUCAACCUUUGAAUGCCGAUGGAUACUGCGAAGCUAGAGUACGGAAGAGGCGAGUGGAAUUCCUGGUGUAGCGGUGGAAUGCGCAGAUAUCAGGAGGAACACCAAUAGCGAAGGCAGCGCGCUGGGACGUUACUGACACUAAGGCGCGAAAGCGUGGGGAGCAAACAGG